rnacentral:rRNA from 1 species
CGGAGGGUGCAAGCGUUAUCCGGAUUCACUGGGUUUAAAGGGUGCGUAGGCGGGCAGGUAAGUCAGUGGUGAAAUCCCGAAGCUUAACUUCGGAACUGCCGUUGAUACUAUCUGUCUUGAAUACCCGGGAGGUGAGCGGAAUAUGUCAUGUAGCGGUGAAAUGCUUAGAUAUGACAUAGAACACCAAUUGCGAAGGCAGCUCACUACAGGGUCAUUGACGCUGAGGCACGAAAGCGUGGGAUCAAACAGGAUU